rnacentral:rRNA from 1 species
UACGGAGGGUGCGAGCGUUAAUCGGAAUUACUGGGCGUAAAGCGCAUGCAGGUGGUUCAUCAAGUCAGAUGUGAAAGCCCGGGGCUCAACCUCGGAACUGCAUUUGAAACUGUUGGACUAGAGUACUGUAGAGGGGGCUAGAAUUUCAGGUGUAGCGGUGAAAUGCGUAGAGAUCUGAAGGAAUACCAGUGGCGAAGGCGGCCCCCUGGACAGAUACUGACACUCAGAUGCGAAAGCGUGGGGAGCAAACAGG